UACGUAGGGUGCUAGCGUUGUUCGGAAUCAUUGGGCGUAAAGCGCGUGUAGGCUGUUAGUUAAGUUGGGUGUGAAAUCCCUGGGCUCAACCGAGGAAGUGCAUCCAAAACUAAUUAGCUAGAAGAUGGUAGAGGAAGGUGGAAUUCCAAGUGUAGAGGUGAAAUUCGUAGAUAUUUGGAGGAAUACCGGUGGCGAAGGCGGCCUUCUGGGCCAUUCUUGACGCUGAGACGCGAAAGCGUGGGUAGCAAACAGG
rnacentral:rRNA from 1 species